rnacentral:lncRNA from 1 species
CUUCAGCUCUGUCAUUAGCCUGCCAAGUCACCCAAGCCUCAGUUUCUUCAUCUGCAAAAUGGGACCAGUAAGCUUUGUGUGGAAAUGUAUCACGGGCCUGAAGCAAGAUUCCUCAUGGAAAAGGGCCUGGGACAGUCGUGGUCGAUGGAAACUGCUGGUGAGCAUUGUCUCCUUCUCUGUGGAUCCAAAAUGACAUUUUAUGACAGCAGAGCGGACACACAACACUGCUACAGCGAGUAGUUAAUGAGCACUCACUAUGUGCCCAACACUGGGCUAAGGAUUUUCUUAUCUAACUCACUGAAGCCUCAUAAACUAUGCUCUGUGGUGGACAAGAGACAUGAUGCCCAUUUUACAGAGAGGGAAACUGAGGCACAAAGACCGAAACCCAGCUGUGGGGAACAUCUCUACCUGGACCAGACCCCAUCUGGAGUCUGGCACUCCCAUGAGGUCUCAGCAGCACCCAGGGAUGCAGGCCAGACCUCCAUAGCUCCAAGAGGUUGUGAGGUGCCAUCCCUGGUUAAGAAGGAGAGAGGUUGGUGGAGCGCUAAGAAGCGAUGCCAGGAAGAAGGUAUGGGGUGAGGAGAGAUGAGGUGAGCGCUUUCUCUGCUAAGCGUCGUCUCAGUCCUGAGUCCGGGAGCACCGGGUACGCACCCUGGGGCCGCGUCCAGUGUAUGUGUGGCGCACACCUUCCGGGCACCACAUCCACCGCCAGGGUCACGGCGUGGCACAGCACAGACAGGAACCCUGGUGGCAAAGAGCUUCUGCUUUGGAGGGAGAGGGCAGACGACUGGUCAACCUCGGAGUGUUGGCUCAGGAACAGACCAGAAAAAGAUCAGUGGACAGAGCGAAGAGUAGCCAAGCCUCGAGAAGAGACUUGUGAGCACUAAGAAGCCGCAGCGUUAUGAUCUUGGGUAGGGAAGCCCUGCCUCAGCAGGUGACCAAAUCUUAAAGGAGAAAACUGAAUUUAAAUAUGUUAACGUUCAGCCUUGAGGGCUUCCCUGAGAGCUCAGU